rnacentral:rRNA from 1 species
AUUGAACGCUGGCGGCAUGCUUUACACAUGCAAGUCGGACGGCAGCACAGAGAAGCUUGCUUCUUGGGUGGCGAGUGGCGAACGGGUGAGUAAUAUAUCGGAACGUACCGAGUAAUGGGGGAUAACUAAUCGAAAGAUUAGCUAAUACCGCAUAUUCUCUGAGGAGGAAAGCAGGGGACCUUCGGGCCUUGCGUUAUUCGAGCGGCCGAUAUCUGAUUAGCUAGUUGGUGGGGUAAAGGCCUACCAAGGCAACGAUCAGUAGCGGGUCUGAGAAGAUGAUCCGCCACACUGGGACUAAGACACGGCCCAGACUCCUACGGGAGGCAGCAGUGGGGAAUUUUGGACAAUGGGCGCAAGCCUGAUCCAGCCAUACCGCGUGUCUGAAGAAGGCCUUCGGGUUGUAAAGGACUUUUGUCCAGGGAAGAAAAGGAUAGGGUUAAUACCCUGUCUGAUGACGGUACUGAAGAAUAAGCACCGCUA